AAUGGCGAAGGUCCGCUCAAGUAACGGCUGGGAGUCGGCGAUUCAGGUAUGGGAAUCGCCGAUCCAGAGGUUCAGUCGCCGACUCCCCAUGAGCCUAGUGGCAGCCUACCAGAGCUGUCCACGAGGCCUAGAGUUGGCGAUUCCCCCCUGGAGUCGGCGACUUGGUAGUCCCAAUCGGCGACUCCCAAGUGUUAACUUGAGCUCUUGACGUAGACACGUGCUCCGCACCGUGGAAGCCUUUCCGGGGGUCCGGCAUAUAGCGACGGAACCCUAUUCCUUGUUUGAAGGGCGUUGCUGGGAGUGACUGACGUAAUCAGGCAUGUCUCACCA
rnacentral:lncRNA from 1 species